GGAAAGAGUACAUUUGCUCAAACACAAUAUUAUCUCAUCUUCGAUGAAGAUAAAGCACAGAACAUCUACUACAGGUACUUACUCGAUAUCUGUGGAAGUAACAUAUUAUAGAUGAUAGUUUGUAUUGGUUCUUGACUGUAAUUUAUGGAAUGAGUUACUUGAUGAAGGAAUGAGUGAAGGAAAUUUUUGGGUCAGUGGAAACCAAGUUAUAGUUGUAUCGACUGCGUUAAAGAAUUUGGAGUUAGCUGACCAGCAGGGAACUCUCUCUCAGCUGAUGAAACAGUGGAGAAGGCAUCUAUAAAAGCUGAGCUGGGAACCUAAUAUUGCCAAGGGAAAGGGAGCUUAGGCAGAAGUCGUGGCAGAUUGUGCUAUAAAAUUAAGUGACAAAAACAUAAAGUACUUUCAUUGGUGCACAAGCUUCAGAGAUGCAAGUUCUCUGUUUGAAGGACAGUGAUGGUCAUAAAUUGAGAGGAAGGGAAGACUUGAAAUAAAAAAUUUCGUACCUUCUAUUGCAAUUUAUAUAAAGAAGAAACUUGUGAGAUGGUAAAGCUCUAUGUGGGAAAGCUUUUGACAGAAUUUGUUGGAGUUAUCCAGAUUCUAUUCUUUCUUCUAUGGGUUUUGCUGUUUUGGUGUAAAUCGGAGGGUAUGAAUUCGUCAAGGCAUUGGUGCAGGCUCUUUCUCUACUGUCACCUUUGCUGUUCAGGAGAAAAGUUAUGUGUUAAUUUAAAGCUAAAAAGAGAAAGGUUAUGUCAGGUUUUGAUUACCUGAUGAUACGACGGUUUUCAUAAAUGCGUGAUGAUCAGCAAUCUCCAAUCUCUAUGGCUUACCGAAGUGGUUUUUGUAAAUGCUUCCAAGACUAGGCUGGUGGGGUAGGAGAUAUACCAGACCCACAUAUCUGGAAAAGUAGGCUUGGUUCUGCAGUGGAUUAGGUUCUUAUUUCCUAUCUCAGUCUUCUUCUUGGGACCUGACAACGGUUUAAAAGAAUCUGGAAUCCAGUUAUUGUCAGGUUUGAGAAAGGAUUUAUCUCUGGAAAAUAUAAUGGAUAUUGAAAGCUGGGAGAUUGGUUCUUAUAGUAUCAUUAUUGGCGGGCCUUCCUAAUCAUUUCCUUUCUCUUAUGGUUGCUCAAAAGCAGGUGAUAUCCUGUCUUAGAAAGGAAAAUGCGUCUAUUCCUUUGGGGAAAGACUAAUCGUGCUAUAGGAAUGCAUUGGGUCAGAUGGGAUCAGCUCAUUGAGCCUUAUAAGGUACUCCCUCCGUUUCAAAAUUUACACACAAACCUUCCUAUUAUUUUGAAACGGAGGGAGUAUAACCCAGGAUGUCUGUGAAUUAAAAGUUAAAACAUGACGAAUUUAGUUCUACUGGCUAAAUAUGCCAAUGGAGGUUUACAAAAGUAAAGGAUGCAUGGGUAAAGGUAAUAUGUCAGGAAUUUAGCCUAAAUUCUGACUUCCUUGCUUUUUAAACUUGUAGCUGGAAGCCUGGACCAAUAAGUCAUUGCUGUUGGGUUUCUAUCUCAAAGGUAUUUGGUAUUACACAAAAAAAUUAUGAGCUAAAGGUUGGUGAUGGUAAGGGGAUAUACCUUCGGAGACCAGUGGUGCAAAGGGGGCUCGAUUCACUCUCAUGUGAGUUCAGUUGAGGAUGAAUGUUGGAACCUGAAGCUUCAAAAAUCUCACUGAUAAUGAAGUUAAAGAAGCUGGGUUGAUGUUGGAUGUUAUUGCUGAACCUGCUACUGCUCUCGCAUGAUACAUGCUUCCUUCUAGCUGCGCUUGUUCAUCAUUGUCAACUAAGAAUUUUAUGGUGAUCUUGCUAUAUGUCACUGGCUUCUGCUAGAGAACAUGCUGGUUGAAUCAUCACCUUUGAAUUGUCCUGCAAAAUUCAUACGGAACAAUACAGAGCCAGGGAGAAUAAGCUUUUUUCUAUGACAGG